AGCCCAGAGCCUGAAUCAGUGUGUGUGUUAGUGGAAGCGUCUGGAAAGGCGCGCGAUACAGGGUGACAGCCCCGUACACAAAAAUGCACAUGCUGUGAGCUCGAUGAGUAGGGCGGGACACGUGGUAUCCUGUCUGAAUAUGGGGGGACCAUCCUCCAAGGCUAAAUACUCCUGACUGACCGAUAGUGAACCAGUACCGUGAGGGAAAGGCGAAAAGAACCCCGGCGAGGGGAGUGAAAAAGAACCUGAAACCGUGUACGUACAAGCAGUGGGAGCCUCUUUAUGGGGUGACUGCGUACCUUUUGUAUAAUGGGUCAGCGACUUAUAUUCUGUAGCAAGGUUAACCGAAUAGGGGAGCCGAAGGGAAACCGAGUCUUAACUGGGCGUUAAGUUGCAGGGUAUAGACCCGAAACCCGGUGAUCUAGCCAUGGGCAGGUUGAAGGUUGGGUAACACUAACUGGAGGACCGAACCGACUAAUGUUGAAAAAUUAGCGGAUGACUUGUGGCUGGGGGUGAAAGGCCAAUCAAACCGGGAGAUAGCUGGUUCUCCCCGAAAGCUAUUUAGGUAGCGCCUCGUGAAUUCAUCUCCGGGGGUAGAGCACUGUUUCGGCAAGGGGGUCAUCCCGACUUACCAACCCGAUGCAAACUGCGAAUACCGGAGAAUGUUAUCACGGGAGACACACGGCGGGUGCUAACGUCCGUCGUGAAGAGGGAAACAACCCAGACCGCCAGCUAAGGUCCCAAAGUCAUGGUUAAGUGGGAAACGAUGUGGGAAGGCCCAGACAGCCAGGAUGUUGGCUUAGAAGCAGCCAUCAUUUAAAGAAAGCGUAAUAGCUCACUGGUCGAGUCGGCCUGCGCGGAAGAUGUAACGGGGCUAAACCAUGCACCGAAGCUGCGGCAGCGACGCUUAUGCGUUGUUGGGUAGGGGAGCGUUCUGUAAGCCUGCGAAGGUGUGCUGUGAGGCAUGCUGGAGGUAUCAGAAGUGCGAAUGCUGACAUAAGUAACGAUAAAGCGGGUGAAAAGCCCGCUCGCCGGAAGACCAAGGGUUCCUGUCCAACGUUAAUCGGGGCAGGGUGAGUCGACCCCUAAGGCGAGGCCGAA
rnacentral:rRNA from 1 species